rnacentral:tRNA from 1 species
GGGCGCAUAGCUCAACUGGUAGAGCGGCAGACUUUUAAUCUGAGGGAUAAUGGUUCGAGUCCAUCUGCGCGCU